rnacentral:rRNA from 1 species
UACGUAGGGUGCGAGCGUUGUCCGGAAUUACUGGGCGUAAAGAGCUCGUAGGUGGUUUGUCGCGUUGUUCGUGAAAACUCACAGCUCAACUGUGGGCGUGCGGGCGAUACGGGCAGACUGGAGUACUGCAGGGGAGACUGGAAUUCCUGGUGUAGCGGUGGAAUGCGCAGAUAUCAGGAGGAACACCGGUGGCGAAGGCGGGUCUCUGGGCAGUAACUGACGCUGGAGGAAGCGAAUGCCGUGGGGAGCAAACAGG